AUGGGCACUGGGUGGAAACUCCUCUUCAGGAACUAGGAUAAAUGGAAAAAGGUUUCAGAGUGCCCACAUGUUUUGUGCUAAGUAAUUUGAGAAUCUGUCCAUCAGAGUCAUUACAGGAACUUCUCAGUUAGAAACAGUUUUGCAAAUGAGUGCCAAGUUACUUCAUCAAAGCUGUCCUGGAAUUUUGCUUUAAAACCUGAACUGUUCUUCAGAUCUUCCUUUUGCUGCCAUCUCCUCCAUGGGUAAAGUAAAAAUGUUUGCUUUGACUGUUGUAAGGCACUUGUCACUUGUGAACUGUUGGCGUCUAAUUUUUGGUGUUAAUGGAAUCCAGUCCCAUUAAGUCAGAACAAAAUUAAAACCAGUGCGGUUAGAUGUGAGGGGAAAAAUAAUAGCAUUUUCCAUCAGUUACCAGUGAAACUUUCCUUGGUGCUCAGAAUUAGCCAGCUCCACAGAGGUCACCCUGCUCUGUGGGACAAGUAUGUCUCUGAGAUAACUGCUUGGUGGAAAAGCUGCCUUUUUGUGUGUUGUGGCAGAUUCUCUGUGGCAAUUACUAUUCUGUAACUGCUCCUGGUGAUCCUGUAUUCAGUUCCCACCUUCAACGAUUGGUAUUCAGUGAAAUUCUUCCUCUGGUACAUUCUCCUUUCCAUAGACAAGAAUAAUGUUUAGUAGUUUAGCCCCAGGAUCUUCUGGAUCAUGAGGAUGUCGAUGUCCUCAGGCUUCCAUGGUAACAGUGAAGACCCACAGGAUUUUUGAUUUAUUUUGUGGGCUACAUCAAGGUGUGGGACCUGCGUUAACCUGAAGCCUUAGGGUCCUGCUCAGAGGAGAUUGAAUAUUCAUCGGGAUUAACGGUAUCAUCUGCAUGAGAGGUGUCAAAGUGGUCUGUCAGCAUAAUGAACGUGUUCCUGUUCUCUGGUUUGAGACUCAUUCUGUCAACUCAAUGCACCUUUUAAAAAAAUUGUUUAUUUAUGUGAUGCCAGUUAUCUGCUGAGGUCUGUAGACACAGGCUAAUUCCAAAAAGACGGGCAGUCAUUUCACGUGUUCAGGGGUGGUUUGGUACUAUAAACAGCAUCACUCCUAAUUUGCUUCUGACAGGGCAAAUUCCCCUCUGUCAGUUUAGGGCACAAGAAAAAUGUUUGGCAUUGCCCCUGUGCUUCUAUUUCCACAAAUAUCAGGACCCAGACCUGUGUCUCAAAGACAUUUGUUUAGAGAUAAAGGCAAUAAAUUAAAAAUAUGUGUAUUAGUCUUGUAUACUUUGCCUUUCAUGGGGAGGGGGGAGAUAAUUAAUUGAUAAG